rnacentral:rRNA from 1 species
AUUGAACGCUGGCGGCAGGCCUAACACAUGCAAGUCGAACGAGUGGCGGACGGGCGAGUAAUGUCUGGGAAACUGCCUGAUGGAGGGGGCUAACUACUGGAAACGGUAGCUAAUACCGCAUACCAUCGGAUGUGCCCAGAUGGGAUUAGCUAGUGGGUGGGGUAAAGGCUCACCUAGGCGACGAUCCCUAGCUGGUCUGAGAGGAUUACCAGCCACACUGGAACUGAGACACGGUCCAGACGCCUACGGGAGGCAGCAGUGGGGAAUAUUGCACAAUGGGCGCAAGCCUGAUGCAGCAAUGCCGCGUGUAUGAAGAAGGCCUUCGGGUUGUAAAGUACUGUCAGCGGGGAGGCGUUACCCGAAGAAGAAGCACCGGCUAACUCCGUGCCAGCAGCCGCGGUAAUUC